CCGUGUCCACGUCGCGCAUGUGGGCUCAGCGGGGGGCACACACCUGACGCAAAAGGGACCUUUUGCACAGAGCGUGCAGUGCGGUACCUCGUGGGCCCGGUACUGUCGUACCAAGUUGGAGGCUGUCCUGCGUCUCGCACCGCUUCUCUUUUUCGAUUUGGGGCUGGAGGUCCGUCUGGAUCUGUUCAUGGCGACUCCGGCAGCGACGGCACCGGCGUUGGCCUCUGGGCCAAGGGUACCCCGCGGACCAGAUGAGAGGGCGGCUGUAGUUCGUGUGCCGGCGCUUGAAGCUGCGAUCCAAGGAUUCGCCAAUAGAGGGACUGAUGUGGUUGUCAACCCGUCGAUGGGCACAGUAUUUGACUCGCUGACAGAGGCCUAUGAAUUCUACAAUUUGUAUUCAUGGGAGGUGAGCCGGCAGAAUGUCAACGGGACCAAAUGCAUGUAGGAGAUCGUGUGCGGCUGCGCCGGUAAACCAAAGAGGGAGAACAGUUCAUCGUUGAGAAGCAAUUGUGCCGCCAUGAUUCGUCUACACCGGACAGAUGAUGGGGGGUGGUAUAUAUGCCUCGGAAAAUCGUGCUUCUCACAACCAUAAACUGCUUAGGACUUGUGCUGAGAAGCUGCACUGGCCAACCAAUGCUUGUGCGUGUUUGAAAAAGCUUGUGCGUGUUUGAAUGAGAACGUGCAAACGAUCAGUACUGUCCGGCCGUGUGAAUACAUCCAGGGCGAUAAGUGUUUACUUUA